rnacentral:rRNA from 1 species
UACGGGGGGGGCAAGCGUUGUUCGGAAUUACUGGGCGUAAAGCGUGCGUAGGCGGUUAUGUAAGUCGGGUGUGAAAUCCCCGGGCUCAACCUGGGAAUUGCAUUCGAUACUGGAUAGCUAGAGUUCGGCAGAGGGAAGCGGAAUUUCCGGUGUAGCGGUGAAAUGCGUAGAUAUCGGAAGGAACAUCAGUGGCGAAAGCGGCUUCCUGGACCAGAACUGACGAUCAGGCACGAAAGCGUGGGGAGCAAACAGG